CCGACGGUGAGAGGCGAAAGCUAGGGGCACGAACCGGAUUAGAUACCCGGGUAGUCCUAGCCGUAAACGAUACUCGCUAGGUGUCGGCCACGGUGCGACCGUUGUCGGUGCCGUAGGGAAGCCGUGAAGCGAGCCACCUGGGAAGUACGGCCGCAAGGCUGAAACUUAAAGGAAUUGGCGGGGGAGCACCACAACGGGUGGAGCUUGCGGUUUAAUUGGAUUCAACGCCGGAAAUCUUACCGGGACCGACAGCAACAUGAAGGCCAGGCUGAAGACUUUGCCGGAUUAGCUGAGAGGUGGUGCAUGGCCGUCGUCAGUUCGUACUGUGAAGCAUCCUGUUAAGUC
rnacentral:rRNA from 1 species